AAUUAAAAACCUUUAUAUAUUUUCACGGUUUCAAAAUAUUAGGUUGGAAUAAACGAGUGUAAAUUCUAGUUUUACUGUUUUGAUAAUGCGCCUUCAAAUUUUCGGCAUUUACAUAUUUUCGAGAUUUACUGCAUUGAAACCAAGCGUUCGAUUGCUUGACGUCACUUCGUGAUCGACAUCGAUGAAACGCUUGCUUGCGCUGUAGAUGUUAUUUUCUGUGCAAAUGCAAGCGUCUAUUGAUAACGAAACGAUAAUUUGUCAACAAUGAGAAUCAGAUACUUGGCUUAAUAAUUUUCAUUUAAAAUGUCUAAUUUGGAUAUAAUUCGGAAUACAAAACGAAACUUAAAAGGUAUUGAAAACAACAACGUUCAAAAGAACAAUGUGGAUUUCAAUAGAAAGACUAUUUCCACCGACAAUCAGGAUUUCCGGUAUGACCACUGUUAUUUUGACGAUUUUUCUAUCGGUUCGUCGGUAAGCGUGACCACAUGUGACAACAGCGAUGCUAGUUGGAUAUAAAAUUGGUAGACGUGUCGUUGAACUCGACACAUUGACCGAAUCGCUUUUAGCAUGCAGUGCUUGUCAAGUGCCCAUGAAUUUACUUAACACUGUAGAAAACAUGGAUUUCGGACAGGCAUGUGUUUUGGACAUACAGUUUAGCAAUUGUGGGGCAGUAAAUAAUGCGGCUACUGGACGGAAACAUGGAAGAGUUUAUGACAUGAUCACAAAGCUUGCAUUUGGGUAAAUCAAAAACUGGGUGUUUCACCUGGGACUUUCACAUCGAAACUGGCCCUUCUCCAUGACCUUCAGCACAAAAAAAGAAAGGCUAUAGCUGUUACUCGUGCAGCAAAACAGUGACGCAUAAGACUUAAAACUCGAACGGCAUUCAAAGGACAGUGCAAGAAGUAAGAGCGGGACCAACAUACAGUUCAAACAUAGAGGACCAAGACGUUGAAGUUACAACUAUCCCCCCACCUAUACCCAAGCCUGGUCCAGCAGGGCUAGACACUACUGGGAAGGAAUUUGUUUUCUUUGAUUUGGAAACAAGAGGGUUAGAGCACACUUCUCACAUAAUUCAGAUAGCUGCAGUGCAUUCAACUGGUCAAUUUUCAACAUAUGUGAUUCAUGAGAAGAAGAUUUCCUUGCGAGCGUCUGAAAUAACUGGAGUGACAGUUGUUAGCGACUCUAUGCUUGUCAAGAGACAAACAGUAACAGCUGUCCCCAUCAAAUCUGCAUUGACAAGUUUUAUAACAUUCUUACAGAAAUGUUCACCAAUUAUUUCAGUUGGGCAUAAUAUAGAGUCUUUUGAUUGUAAAGUGUUGCUCCAUGCUAUCCAUACUUGUUGAAAAAUGUUUGAGUUUCAGCAAAAUAUUUGUGGCUUUUUAGAUACUUAAAAAUGUUAAAGGAAAUAUUACCAAAUAUGAAAUCAUAUAAGCGGGAACAUUUAGUUAAAGACGUCAUUGGUGAAUUAUACAUGGCACAUGGCGCUAUACAGGAUAUUUUAGCUUUACAAAAGUUAGUGAACUCUGUUCCUCUUGACCAAAAAUUGUUAACAAAUAUUCAUUCAGCUUUUACCGAGCAGUGUUAACAUACAAUGUGUAACUAAAUGUUGCUUCCAACAUCAAAUCUUUACAAACCAUAAUUGAUACAAAAGUUAUAAGUCAAGGUGUUGCAAGGAAAGUUGCAGGAAGUGGAUUUCAACUUAAACAUUUGAGUCCUGUAUCGAAAAGAAACGGACUGAGUGGUUUGAGGAGCCCCCUGUCAGAGGUUACAAACGGACAAAUCAGAGUAACAAAAUCAGAGAAAAUAAUAUGUACAAUAGCGAGUUAUUUGUUGCCUGACAUCUAACCAAUUGUAAUUUGCAUCUUGUAUAUAGAUAAGCUAUGAAAUCUAAUAGCUGUUACAUAAUUGUUUUUCCUUCUCGAUGACGAACAUAGUUGUGAUUCUUAUGUCAGUUGUAUUUCUCAUGUUUCACCUAAGUUGUAAGAUAUUUUUGGCAGUGCAUUAAACCAAAGAUGGUGUGUGAAACAUAAUUGCCCAGCUUAUUGUAUUCUUUGUUGUUUUAAGCUUCACUGGCCAAAGGCCAGCGGGGCUUAUGUUAUGAUUCUGUGUCCGUCGUGCGUGCGUGCCUGAACGUUUCCUUUAAACAUCUUCUCCUAAACUACUGGUCCAAUUGUGAUGAAAUUUCUUAGGAAUGUUCCUCUUUCAACGUUGUUCAAAUUAUGCCCCUGGGGUCAAAUUUGAACCUGCCGCGGGGUCACAAAAUUGAACAUAUGCUUAUAUAAGGUCUAUUUUGUGAAAACUUCACAUAUUUUUUCGUCCAUAACCAUUGGGCCUUGGGCUUCCAAAUUUGGUAUGUAGUGGCAUCUUAUAGUCCUCUACCAAGUUUGUUCAAAUUAUGCCCCUAGGGUCAAGUUUGACCCUGCCCUGAGGGUCACAAAAUUGAACAUAUGCUUAUAUUAGGCAUUUUUUGUGAAAACUUUAAAAAUCUUCUUGUUCAUAUUAGUAUGGCAUAGGGCUACCAAAUUUGGUAUGUAGUGACAUGUAAUAGUUCUCUACCAAGUUUGUUCAAAUUAUGCCCCUUGGGUUAAAUUUGAAACUGCCCCGGGGGUUACAAAACUGAACAUUGUCCAUAUCUAUUUGUUCAAAUAAUGCCACUGGAGUCAACUUUGACCCUGCCGCGGGGGGUCACAAAAUUUAAUAAACGCUUAUAAAGCGCCUAUUUUGUGAAAUCUUUAAAAAUCUUGUCGAAAACCAUUUUGACUAUGGCUACCAAAUUUGGUAUGCAGGAACAUCUUAAAGUCAUCUACCAAGUUUGUUACUUUGGGUCAAAUUUGACCCUGACCCGCGGGUCACAAAAUUGAACAUUAUAUACGCUUGUAUCUUGCUUAUUUUGUGAAAACUUUAAAAAUAUUCUUGUCCUUAACUCUACAUCUAAGACUUAGGGCCACCACAUUUUGAAUGGAGUGAGAUAUAGUAGUCCUCUACAAAGUUUGCUCAAAUUAUGCCCCUGGAGUUAAAUUUGACCCAGCCCAGGUGGUCACAAAAUUGUACAUGUGCUUAAAUAGGGCCUAUAUUUAAGUAUCUGCACAUGCGGAGAAUAUUUGUUUCAGUCUUUUUUUCAGCAGUGGAGCGAUACAGGGCCAUCAUGGCCUCUUGUCUUUAAAUACACAUCACACAGUUCUAAAAAUAAUUUUAAAAUACCUAGUACAUAUGUUCAAUUUACAACCAACAACAUGGGUAACAGGUGGGUGGGGUAAUUUAAGAUGUUUAUUUGAACAUCAACAUUGUUUUUUCAGUUGUUACAUCUGAAAUAUGUUCAUAACAAUAUACAUUAUAAAUAUUUCUACGUGUAUCACAUUUCAGUUGAUAAUUUAAUUGUUAUGGAGCAGUUAUUAUAUAGAUAUGUUUUAAUUACUAUUACAAUGUUAGUCAUUGUAUUUUUGAAAUUAAGUCCAUAUUAAAAUUUCUAUAGCAAAAAAAAAUCCACGGUGACCUAUCAAUUUCUUUACUUCAUUUUAAUGCUUAGCUAGUUUCCUUUAAUUAUUGAGAACUUCAAAUGAAUAUGAAUAUUACAUCAACAGAAAUAUGUAUCUGUAUUGCAUGUUAUCUAUUUUGAACUGUGCAAUAAAAAAUUCAAAACAAACAAAAAACUAGUCAUACUUAUUUCUCAU